rnacentral:rRNA from 1 species
AACGUAGGAGGCGAGCGUUAUCCGGAUUUACUGGGCGUAAAGCGUACGCAGGCGGCUUCGUGAGUCGGAUGUGAAAGCUCCUGGCUUAACUGGGAGAGGCCAUUCGGAACUGCGGGGCUUGAGGUUGGGAGAGGGGUGCGGAAUUCCCGGUGUAGUGGUGGAAUGCGUAGAGAUCGGGAGGAACACCUGUGGCGAAAGCGGCACCCUGGCCCACACCUGACGCUGAGGUACGAAAGCGUGGGUAGCAAACAGG